GAUUUCUGGUUCGGCGCACUUGGCCCGUCUUGGUUCACAAGAUUGUGUGCUGGUGUGCGCCAUCCAUCCUUCGAGUGAUGCAUUUCUACCCUUUACUGGGUCGGGAAUGAUAGCUCGAUCUUUUACUUUGAAAAAAUUAGAGUGUUUAAAGCAGGCUUGCGCUAUGAAUACAUUAGCAUGGAAUAAUAAUUUAGGACUUUGGUCUUAUUUUGUUGGUUUCUAGGACUAAAGUAAUGAUUGAUAGGGACAGUUGGGGGUGCUAGUAUUCAGCGGCCAGAGGUGAAAUUCUUGGAUUCGCUGAAGACUAACUUAUGCGAAAGCAUU
rnacentral:rRNA from 2 species